GAGUUUGAUGUGGNNAAANUGAAGGCUGGGGGCAGGCUAAGACAUGNNUCCUCAGCGGAAACGAGCUAACUGAACCUUCUGGGAACGUUAACGGUGUCGAGCGGNGGACGGGGGAGUAAUGCCUGGGAAAUUGUCCUGAUGGGGGGGAUAACCAUUGGAAAUGAUGGUUACUACCUCAUAAUAUCUUCUUAAAGAAGAGGGUGACCUCUGCGCCUCUCUUGUCAGGAUAUGCCCACUUGGGAUUAGUUACCGCGNUAGGUAAUCACCAAUGUAACCCACCCUCCCUCCUUGGAGAGGGAGAACAAUCACCCUGGAACUGACACACAUNCCGGACUCACUCCGGAGGCAGGUGUGGGUAAUAUUUAUUGAA
rnacentral:rRNA from 1 species